rnacentral:rRNA from 1 species
GACGAACGCUGGCGGCGUGCUUAACACAUGCAAGUCGAACGGAAAGGCCCUGCUUUUGUGGUUUGCUCGAGUGGCGAACGGGUGAGUAACACGUGAGUAACCUGCCCUUGACUUUGGGAUAACUUCAUGAAACUGGGGCUAAUACCGGAUAGGAGCUCCUGCUGCAUGGUGGGGGUUGGAAAGUUUCGGCGGUUGGGGAUGGACUCGCGGCUUAUCAGCUUGUUGGUGGGGUAGUGGCUUACCAAGGCUUUGACGGGUAGCCGGCCUGAGCGGGUGACCGGCCACAUUGGGACUGAGAUACGGCCCAGACUCCUACGGGAGGCAGCAGUGGGGAAUAUUGCACAAUGGGCGGAAGCAUGAUGCAGCAACGCCGCGUGCGGGAUGACGGACUUCGGGUUGUAAACCGCUUUCGCCUGUGACGAAGAGUGAGUGACGGUAAUGGGUAAAGAAGCACCGGCUAACUACGUG